GACGAACGCUGGCGGCGUGCUUAACACAUGCAAGUGGAGCGACGAACCAGGGCUUGCCCUGGGGCAAAGCCGCGAACGGGUGAGUAACACGUGGGUAACCUGCCCCGAUGACCGGGACAACCCGAGGAAACUCGGGCUAAUACCGGAUGUGUCCGCGCCCCUCAAGGGGCACGUGGAAAGGAAGCUUCGGCCUCCGCAUCGGGAUGGGCCCGCGGCCCAUUAGCUUGUUGGUGAGGUAACGGCUCACCAAGGCCGCGAUGGGUAGCUGGUCUGAGAGGACGAUCAGCCACACUGGGACUGAGACACGGCCCAGACUCCUACGGGAGGCAGCAGUGGGGAAUCUUGCGCAAUGCGCGAAAGCGUGACGCAGCAACGCCGCGUGGGGGAAGACGGCCUUCGGGUUGUAAACCCCUUUCAGUUGGGACGAAGCUCCGUCCGUUAACAGCGGGCCGGAGUGACGGUACCUUCAGAAGAAGCCCCGGCUAACUACGUGCCAGCCGCCGCAGUAAAAC
rnacentral:rRNA from 1 species